rnacentral:rRNA from 1 species
GUAGAAGUAUGUAAGGGUGUAUGGCGGAUGCCUAGGCUCUCAGAGGCGAAGAAGGACGUGAGACACUGCGAAAAGCUACGACGAGGCGUGCACUAUCCAUUGACUCGUAGAUAUCCGAAUGGGGCAACCCACUUGGUUGAAGACCAAGUAUCCAUUUAUGGAGGUAAACGCAGGGAACUGAAACAUCUAAGUACCUGUAGGAGAAGAAAACAAAAGUGAUUUCCCUAGUAGUGGCGAACGAACGGGAAUUAGCCCAAACCAACGAGGUUUCGGCCUUGUUGGGGUUGUAGGACCACAAUAUAAGAGUAUGAAGCUAGAAGAAUCAACUGGAAAGUUGAACCGUAGAGGGUGAUAGUCCUGUAUUUGAAAGCGGAGUAUAAUUUAGUGGUAUCCUGAGUAGCUCGGGGCACGUGAAACCCUGAGUGAAUUUGCCAGGACCAUCUGGUAAGGCUAAAUACU